CCUACGGGAGGCAGCAGUGGGGAAUAUUGCACAAUGGGCGCAAGCCUGAUGCAGCCAUGCCGCGUGUGUGAAGAAGGCCUUCGGGUUGUAAAGCACUUUCAGCGGGGAGGAAGGCGGUGAGGUUAAUAACCUAAUAGAUUGACGUUACCCGCAGAAGAAGCACCGGCUAACUCCGUGCCAGCAGCCGCGGUAAUACGGAGGGUGCAAGCGUUAAUCGGAAUUACUGGGCGUAAAGCGCACGCAGGCGGUCUGUCAAGUCGGAUGUGAAAUCCCCGGGCUCAACCUGGGAACUGCAUUCGAAACUGGCAGGCUAGAGUCUUGUAGAGGGGGGUAGAAUUCCAGGUGUAGCGGUGAAAUGCGUAGAGAUCUGGAGGAAUACCGGUGGCGAAGGCGGCCCCCUGGACAAAGACUGACGCUCAGGUGCGAAAGCGUGGGGAGCAAACAGGAUUAGAUACCCCGGUAGUC
rnacentral:rRNA from 1 species